rnacentral:lncRNA from 1 species
GACUGGAUUUUCUAAAGUUACAUUCAUAUGCUCUAUGUCCUAACUUAUUGCAGCAAUAACAAGUAAUAUUUUCACUUUUAGCUUUUACAAAAAUGUUCUUUAAGAAUUUUUGUUUCCUAUUUGUUUUAUAUCCUAAACCGGCCUUAUCAUAUACAGCUUUUUGGCUAUCAAGAAUCAAAUUUAAUUUGGUAGAACUAAGAGUAAAUUUAUCUACCAAAGUU